UUUCCCUUGCCAGCUGCUGGGGUUAGGUUCCUGAAAGUUUUGGUGGUUGGCAAGGCAAAAGGCUUAUGGGGAAAAUGGCAGGUGGCGGGCUGAUAUGCAGCCAUGGAAAACCGUGAUUACUCAAAACUAUACCAUGGUAGCCAAAAGAGGGUA